rnacentral:lncRNA from 1 species
AUGGGUGAAAUUGGGGUUAAGGCCGUGAGCCCCAUGUCCGUGAGCAUCCCGAUUAGCUUGUACCCGCCCCGGCGCUUAGUACAGCGCCUGGCAGAUAGGAAGCGCUUAACGAACACCAUUCCCCCCCCCCCCCCCAACAAGUCACAUUAUGACAAUUUCCUCCUCUUCCUGAGUACAUUGAAAUCGACGCCCUUCCGAGCCUAUAGAUUCCCACAUUCCCUUAUUUCCACGUUCCCCUUUCCAUCAGGAGACUCUGUUACGCCGGGACCCCCUUCGAGUGCAGGGUGGGAGUUACCCCCGUUAUUCUCAUCAUUGGCCCCCGGAGUUGGCGCCUACCCCUGCCGAGCAGGUCGGCGUGGGACCAAGAUGAGCGAUGGGCAGAAGAUCUCAGCCUCCAUCAACGGGUUGCGGCUGCCGGGCUCGGCGGAGGGCGGGGCGGGCCGGCCGGUCCGGGCCGUGAGCCUCCGGCCCCCCCCCCGCCCGGCUCGGCCCCCGCUGCGCCGACUCGGCCAUCCCGACCCUGGAGAUCGGCGACCCCGAGGCCGUCCAGUGCGGCGCGCCGGGCGUCCGGCCGAAGCCCCGCGAGCCCCCGGCCCGGCCGGCCCCCCGCCCGGCGUCGCCGCCCUCCCCGCCGUCGUCCUCGUCCUCCUCGGCGUCGUCGGCGUCCUCGGCGGAGCGGGAUGGGUCCGCCGGCCCCCGGUCCGCCUUCCCCGGCGGCGGGCCGGCCCCCGGCCGCGGCGACGGGCCCGCGGCGGGCGACGGGGCCGGCCCGGGCCCCGAGGACGGGGCCGACUUCACGGCCACCAGCGGCUCCAGCGCCAUCGUCACCCUGGGCGGCGACGAGGCCCCCUUCUCCGACGUGACGCUCAGCUCGGCCAAGGACGGCGGCCGCCCGGCCCGGCCCCCGCCCCCGCCCGGCCCCGCCGGCCCCGAACCCGCCGGGACCGCGGGCUCGGCCGCGGCGGGCAACUUCUUCACCAGGUAAGGCCGGCCGGGCGUUUUCCCCCGGGGCUGCUCGCCGG